UACGAAGGGGGCUAGCGUUGCUCGGAAUCACUGGGCUUAAAGGGCGCGUAGGCGGUUUGCCAAGUCCGGGGUGAAAGCCUCCAGCUUAACUGGAGAAGUGCCUUGGAUACUGGCGAACUCGAGCGAGAUAGGGGUCGUGGGAACUUCCGGUGGAGCGGUGAAAUGCGUUGAUAUCGGAAGGAACGCCGGUGGCGAAAGCGCACGACUGGAUCUCUUCUGACGCUGAGGCGCGAAAGCCAGGGGAGCAAACGGG
rnacentral:rRNA from 1 species